rnacentral:rRNA from 1 species
UACGUAGGGGGCAAGCGUUGUCCGGAAUUACUGGGCGUAAAGGGCGCGUAGGUGGCCUUCUAAGUUGAACGUGAAAUCCCUGGGCUCAACCCAGGGACUGCGUCCAAGACUGGGAGGCUUGAAUCCGGGAGAGGGAUGCGGAAUUCCAGGUGUAGCGGUGAAAUGCGUAGAUAUCUGGAGGAACACCGGUGGCGAAGGCGGCAUCCUGGACCGGGAUUGACACUGAGGCGCGAAAGCCAGGGGAGCAAACGGG